rnacentral:lncRNA from 1 species
GGUAGAUCUAAAGGAGAAUGAACAGAAGGUGCUGGAGGACCUGUUAAACAAUCUCUGGCUAUUAAAAAACAUCAAGAUGAGAAUUAAAGGCAUAUCCUGAUAUACUUGCCUGCUUGCACAUGAGGCUGGGAGAUCCCAUGCCUGUUGAAGUUAACUCUAGCCCUGACCUCUAUUGAUCUUUUGGGAAUGAGGGCUGAUUUGAAGGUGCUGUUGCAGGAUUUCAUUUAGCUGCUGCCAGUUCAAGUGACCUGUCCCCAGGGCUGCAGCUGUAUCCACCUGAUUGCAGUAGGUGAGGGCUAACAGCAGAAUUUAAAGUGGACCCUGGGCUGUGGAGCAAAGUGACUAUCCAUUUGGACUUUUGGAUAAUGUGGCAGGAGUCCCAGCUGUUUAAUUUCUAGUCACAUUUUCCAGAAAGUUGUUCUAAGUUGAGAUUACUGACAAGAUUUCUCAAGGGCAGGACCAGAUAUGUGAGAGACUUCUAGUUCAGAGCUGACCCCUCUAAGCCUCUGACACUUAAACACGAGUCCUGCUGUCCCCAGCACACAACUGCACUGAAGCCUUGUUCCUCUCGGCUGGUGUAGAGCUCAUCUGCAUGUUGUGUGCAGAUACCAGUAGCCUCCCUGCUUGAACAGGCCUCUCCUAGGCUAGGCAGGUGUUCAGAGGCAUGAAGGUCUGGGCAGGGGAAGGGCGUCUUCUGAAAUGGGAGUUACCAGGUUUUUAAAUGCUGCUAUUGUUUUAUUUACCAUUUAAGGUCUUUUCUAUUAUAUCUGAGUAACUAGUCAGUUUUUCUUACAGUGCUCAUAGCAGUUGUAUUUGAAUUGUAUUUUCAGUGAAAUUUGUUUUACAUUGCCAUUUAAAAUUGGCCUUUAACAGCUUC